rnacentral:Y_RNA from 1 species
GGUUGGUCAGAGUGCAGUGGUGUUUACAACUAAUUGAUCACAACCAGUUACAGAUUCCUUUGUUCCUUCUCCACCCCCACUGCUCCACUUGACUAUAAA